rnacentral:tRNA from 1 species
GCGCCCGUAGCUCAGCUGGACAGAGCACUUCCCUCCUAAGGAAGGGGUCAGCCGUUCGAAUCGGCUCGGGCGCGCCA